rnacentral:rRNA from 1 species
UACAGAGGGUGCAAGCGUUAAUCGGAAUUACUGGGCGUAAAGGGCGUGUAGGUGGUUUUAUAAGUUUGAUGUGAAAGCCCCGGGCUUAACCUGGGAAUGGCGUUGAAGACUGUGAGACUUGAGUAGGACAGAGGAUAGUGGAAUUUCCGGUGUAGCGGUGAAAUGCGUAGAGAUCGGAAAGAACACCCGUGGCGAAGGCGGCUAUCUGGGUCCAAACUGACACUGAGGCGCGAAAGCGUGGGGAGCGAACAGGAUUAGAUACCCUGGUAGUCCAUGCUGUAAACGAUGAGAACUGGAUGUGCGGAAGGUAUAAGCCUUCUGCGUAUCGAAGCUAACGCGUUAAGUUCUCCGCCUGGGGAGUACGGCCGCAAGGUUAAA